rnacentral:lncRNA from 1 species
GGGUAACCCUACUAUCCCACACCCAACCCCGGGUGAGGCGUACGAAGGACUCUAUGAGCCCCUAGCCUACAACCCUGAUUCUAGACCUACAGACUCUCCUAUCAAGGGUCAUGUCCUCGGUAACGUGCAUUCUAGUCAUGUCCUGCCUAAUCACCUCUCCCCAAUGCUUCUUAGGCCUCCCUCUCCCUUGCCGACCACCAACAAUCUCCAGCCGCUCGCAGCUCCUCACCGGAGCAUCGGGUCCCCUCCUCCGAACAUGCCCGAACCACCUCAGCCUCGCUUCCCGCAUCUUCUCGUCCACCGGGGCCACCCCUGCCUUCUGUCGAAUAACUUCAUUCUUGAUCUUAUCCAGCCUGGUGUGCCUACACAUCUACCUAAGCAUCUUCAUCUCCGCAACCUUCAUUCUCUGAACAUGCGAGUACUUCACGGGCCAGCACUCCGCCCCAUACAACAUCGCAGGUCUAACCACGGCUCUGAAGAAUUUNN